rnacentral:lncRNA from 1 species
GCCUCGUCUCGGAAGAUGCUGGACGAGGGCAUGAUGCUGGAGGGCUUCCGGCGCUUUGACCUCUACGAGGACUGCAAGGAUACCGCCUGCCAGUUCUCGCUCAAGGUCACCCACUACCACUGCACGCGGGAGAACUGCGGCUACAAGUUCUGCGGGCGCACGCACAUGUACAAGCACGCACAGCACCACGACCGCGUGGACAACCUGGUGCUGGACGACUUCAAGCGCUUCAAGGCCUCGCUCAGCUGCCACUUCGCCGACUGCCCGUUCUCGGGCACCAGCACGCACUUCCACUGCCUGCGCUGCCGCUUCCGCUGCACAGACAGCACCAAGGUCACUGCGCACCGCAAGCACCACGGCAAGCAGGACGUGAUCAGCGCCGCUGGCUUCUGCCAGUUCAGCUCGAGCGCCGACUGCGCGGUGCCCGACUGCAAGUACAAGCUCAAGUGCUCGCACUUCCACUGCACCUACCCGGGCUGCCGCCACACAGUGGUGGGCAUGUCGCAGAUGGACUCGCACAAGCGCAAGCACGAGAAGCAGGAGCGAGGGGAGCCUCCCGCAGCCUCGCCGGGUGCGCCCGUCAGCCUGGACGGCUCGCUCACGCUGGCCGCCGAGCAAGGCUCGCUGCUCUUCCUGCAGACAGCGGCCGC